rnacentral:rRNA from 1 species
GAUGAACGCUAGCGGCAGGCUUAACACAUGCAAGUCGAGGGGUAGAGGAAGCUUGCUUCCUUGAGACCGGCGCACGGGUGCGUAACGCGUAUGCAACCUACCUUUUACAGAGGGAUAGCCCAGAGAAAUUUGGAUUAAUACCUCAUAGUAUAUAGUCUUCGCAUGUUGACUAUAUUAAAGUUCCAACGGUAAAAGAUGGGCAUGCGUCCUAUUAGCUAGAUGGUAAGGUAACGGCUUACCAUGGCAACGAUAGGUAGGGGUCCUGAGAGGGAGAUCCCCCACACUGGUACUGAGACACGGACCAGACUCCUACGGGAGGCAGCAGUGAGGAAUAUUGGACAAUGGGCGCAAGCCUGAUCCAGCCAUGCCGCGUGCAGGAAGAAGCAUCUAUGGUGUGUAAACUGCUUUUGUACGGGAAGAAACACUCCCUCGUGAGGGAGCUUGACGGUACCGUAAGAAUAAGGAUCGGCUAACUCCGUGCCAGCCGCCGCCGUAACAC